rnacentral:rRNA from 1 species
CGAACGCUGGCGGCAGGCCUAAUACAUGCAAGUCGAACGGCUCUUCGGAGCAGUGGCGGACGGGUGAGUAACGCGUGGGAAUGUGCCCUUUGGCACGGAACAACACAGGGAAACUUGUGCUAAUACCGUAUGUGCCCUUCGGGGGAAAGAUUUAUCGCCAUUGGAGCAGCCCGCGUUGGAUUAGGUAGUUGGUGAGGUAAAGGCUCACCAAGCCUACGAUCCAUAGCUGGUCUGAGAGGAUGACCAGCCACACUGGGACUGAGACACGGCCCAGACUCCUACGGGAGGCAGCAGUAGGGAAUCUUGCGCAAUGGGCGAAAGCCUGACGCAGCCAUGCCGCGUGUAUGAUGAAGGUCUUAGGAUUGUAAAAUACUUUCACCGGGGAAGAUAAUGACGGUACCCGGAGAAGAAGCCCCGGCUAACUUCGUGCCAGCCGCCGCUGUAACAC